UGAAUCAUGUAGAAUUGUCAA
ensembl:piRNA 21ur-3588 ncRNA